rnacentral:rRNA from 1 species
UACAGAGGUCUCAAGCGUUGUUCGGAUUCAUUGGGCGUAAAGGGUGCGUAGGCGACGCGGUAAGUCGGGUGUGAAAUCUCGGAGCUUAACUCCGAAACUGCAUUCGAUACUGCCGUGCUUGAGGACUGGAGAGGAGACUGGAAUUUACGGUGUAGCGGUGAAAUGCGUAGAUAUCGUAAGGAAGACCAGUGGCGAAGGCGGGUCUCUGGACAGGUACUGACACUCAACUACGAAAGCGUGGGGAGCAAACAGG